AUUGAACGCUGGCGGCAUGCCUUACACAUGCAAGUCGAACGGCAGCACGGGAGCUUGCUCCUGGUGGCGAGUGGCGAACGGGUGAGUAAUACAUCGGAACGUACCCUGAAGUGGGGGAUAACGUAGCGAAAGUUACGCUAAUACCGCAUAUUCUGUGAGCAGGAAAGAGGGGGAUCGCAAGACCUCUUGCUUUAGGAGCGGCCGAUGUCGGAUUAGCUAGUUGGUGAGGUAAAGGCUCACCAAGGCGACGAUCCGUAGCGGGUCUGAGAGGAUGAUCCGCCACACUGGGACUGAGACACGGCCCAGACUCCUACGGGAGGCAGCAGUGGGAAUUUUGGACAAUGGGCGCAAGCCUGAUCCAGCCAUGCCGCGUGAGUGAAGAAGGCC
rnacentral:rRNA from 1 species